rnacentral:rRNA from 1 species
UACGUAGGGUGCGAGCGUUGUCCGGAAUUACUGGGCGUAAAGAGCUUGUAGGCGGUCUGUCACGUCUUCUGUGAAAACUUGGGGCUCAACCUUAAGCUUGCAGGGGAUACGGGCAGACUAGAGUACUUCAGGGGAGACUGGAAUUCCUGGUGUAGCGGUGAAAUGCGCAGAUAUCAGGAGGAACACCGGUGGCGAAGGCGGGUCUAUGGGAAGUAACUGACGCUGAGAAGCGAAAGCGUGGGUAGCAAACAGG